GGCAUACACACACACAGGCACACACACACCAGAUGUGGAGCUGGAGAGACGCUCUCACACACACGUACAUGCAUACACACACACACGCACACACAGGUGCAUGCUUCAUUUAAAGAUAAAUAAGUUUUAGAAGAUACAGAUGUGAAGGCUUAGUUACCUCUAGUGAGAUUUUAAUCCUAAAUGUCCACUAAACUUUUUAGAAACCUAGAAUUUUUAGAAUUUAUAUGCAAUUUUAUGCCCUUAACCCAGAUACAACAGUUGUUAAAUUAUUGGGUCUCACUCUCUCCAAAUACUUGAAUUUGUGCACACUCAACACACUGAUGCCUACGCACACAGCUUUUCCGAUAUCUUACCUCUUCUAUCAAAUACCUAAGUGUGUUUCCCUUGAGCAGCUGUAAUACAGUAUCCAACCAAGUCUGGUGUCGAUGCACAGCACUACACAACCCAACAGCUUAUUUAAAUGUCACCAGUUGUCCCCGCUGGUACAGUGGAGUGUGUCCCGAUUUUAAUCGAGUGUCUCACUGGGCACCCUUGUUCUGAACCUCCCUGUGGCAUCGGGUGCAGAAAGAAGACAGAGAGGCACUCUAGGGGUGAUUCUUAGCCUCUCCCGCUCUAAGUGUGAUUCUUAGCCUCUCCUGCCACGGGGGAUCAGCCUACGGCUGACUCACUCCCUGCCGCCUCAGUGAUUGCGGUGUGCUAUUUCAUGGUGUGCUACUUUUGUUUGUACUGCGGAACAUUUGUUUAACUCUGUGGAACAUUUGUAUUAAAGGUGUAUUGUUUUUACUCGUGCUGCAUUUGUUUAACUCUGUGGAGCUGUGAUUCCCUGUGUAAAACACCUGAUGGCCUGACGAAGAGCUGAACGGCCAUAGCGAGGCAGGAAAAGGACAGGCGGGACCAGUGGGCAGCGAGAAUAAACAGACAGAGAAAUCGGGGGAGGAGAAGGGGGGGCAAGAGAGAACAAAGAGAGGAGGACAGCGGAGCCAGCUACAGAGUAAGAGUGAGGCAUCAUUUUGUUGUCAGAAGUUCUGGAACCCGGAUCCAGGCACCUAGAAAAGUGGCUGCUCCUCUGCCCUACCAGGCACACCUGGACUCUCCUUUCGCUAAGCUCCCCACCACUUUGCUGGGCAAGGCACGAUUCCUGCCGCCGGGAACCAGCACCUUCUACCUGCCGUGUUGACCAAGGGCCCCAGGAAGAACCCUGAGAGGGAGGCCCCGAGUGAGCAGCUGAAAACAUUGAGCUUCUCCACACGGAUGCCUGAAGAUGCUCACAACUCUGGACGAGACCCAGGAGAAUCCAGACAAAGAAGCUGUUGUCUUCCAAGUCCUUUGUCCUAGGAAUCUGAGGCUGGAAAAUACCUGGUGCAGGUCGUAGAUUUGAGUCUAAUAUGUUCCACCAGCUACAGGCUGGGAGCAAAAGCCUCUGUCCUAGGUUAAUAAAGCCUGCCGUAAGUAGUUACCUGCAACCAUCACCUCCUUGACUAGGGUGCAGCCGAUACAGUCAUACUCUCCCUUUGUUUUCUGAGACAGUCUUUACUCUGGCCCGUACUUCCACGCCCGCCGGCCCCACCAUCUCCAGAGACCGGGUUUCAGCUGUGGACCCCCCACCUGGUGCCUCUUUUUCCUUUUUCCUUAGUUAGUUUUUGAUAGGAUCCUUUUUAAAAAGAUGUAUUUAUUUAUUAUAUAUACAGUGUUCUGUCUGCACGUAUCCCUGCAGGCCAG